GGUGAACGCUGGCGGCGUGCUUAAGACAUGCAAGUCGAACGCAGUCUUCGGACUGAGUGGCGCACGGGUGAGUAACACGUAACUGACCUACCCCCAAGUCGCGGAUAACUGGCCGAAAGGUCAGCUAAUACGUGAUGUGAUGUCCCCUUUCUGGGGGGCCAUUAAAGGUUUACUGCUUGGGGAUGGGGUUGCGCUCCAUCAGCUAGUUGGCGGGGUAAGGGCCCACCAAGGCAACGACGGAUAGCCGGCCUGAGAGGGUGGCCGGCCACAGGGGCACUGAGACACGGGUCCCACUCCUACGGGAGGCAGCAGUUAGGAAUCUUCCACAAUGGGCGAAAGCCUGAUGGAGCGACGCCGCGUGAGGGAUGAAGGUUCUCGGAUCGUAAACCUCUGAAUCAGGGACGAAAGACGCGUAAGCGGGAUGACGGUACCUGAGUAAUAGCACCGGCUAACUCCGUGCCAGCAGCCGCCGUAACAC
rnacentral:rRNA from 1 species